AACGCACAUUGCGCCCUUUGGUAUUCCGAAGGGCAUGCCUAUUCGAGCGUCAUUAUCACCCCUCAAGCCCGGCUUGGCCUUGGGCCCGCGUCGUCCGCGACCGGCCCGAAAGAUAAUGGCGGUGUCGAACGGACCCUCCGGUGCAGCGAGCUUCGGCACGCACCUGUGAAGGCCGUCGGCCCCGGUCGUACCCCCCCAAAGGUUGACCUCGGAUUAGGUAGGAAUACCCGCUGAACUUAA
rnacentral:misc_RNA from 1 species